AAGUCGUAACAAGGUUUCCGUAGGUGAACCUGCGGAAGGAUCAUUAUAGUGUUUCUCGAGCCCUCUUACGGGGGUUAGAAAAUGCCACCCUUUGUAUAUUAUAUCUUGUUGCUUUGGCAGGCCCGCCGUGAGGCAUCUGGCUUCGGCUGGGUAGCGGCCUGCCAGAGACCAUUAAACCCUUUUUAUAGUGUUGUUGUCUGAGUCCCAUAUAAUAGUUAAAACUUUCAACAACGGAUCUCUUGGCUCUG
rnacentral:misc_RNA from 1 species